rnacentral:rRNA from 1 species
CUGAUCCAGCCAUGCCGCGUGUGUGAAGAAGGCUUUCGGGUUGUAAAGCACUUUCAGUGAGGAAGAAUGCCUUGGGCUUAAUACGCCCGAGGAAAGACAUCACUCACAGAAGAAGCACCGGCUAACUCCGUGCCAGCAGCCGCGGUAAUACGGAGGGUGCGAGCGUUAAUCGGAAUUACUGGGCGUAAAGCGCGCGUAGGUGGCUUGAUAAGCCGGUUGUGAAAGCCCCGGGCUCAACCUGGGAACGGCAUCCGGAACUGUCAGGCUAGAGUGCAGGAGAGGAAGGUAGAAUUCCCGGUGUAGCGGUGAAAUGCGUAGAGAUCGGGAGGAAUACCAGUGGCGAAGGCGGCCUUCUGGACUGACACUGACACUGAGGUGCGAAAGCGUGGGUAGCAAACAGGAUUAGAUACCCUGGUAGUCCACGCCGUAAACGAUGUCGACUAGCCGUUGGGGUCCUAGAGACCUUUGUGGCGCAGUUAACGCGAUAAGUCGACCGCCUGGGGAGUACGGCCGCAAGGUUAAAACUCAAAUGAAUUGACGGGGGCCCGCACAAGCGGUGGAGCAUGUGGUUUAAUUCGAUGCAACGCGAAGAACCUUACCUACCCUUGACAUCGUGCGAACUUUCCAGAGAUGGAUUGGUGCCUUCGGGAGCGCACAGACAGGUGCUGCAUGGCUGUCGUCAGCUCGUGUUGUGAAAUGUUGGGUUAAGUCCCGUAACGAGCGCAACCCUUGUCCUUAUUUGCCAGCACGUAAUGGUGGGAACUCUAGGGA